rnacentral:sRNA from 1 species
ACCUUUCCUCCUGGCCUGGGAUUCAGUGGAAGAAAUUGUUCAUGAUACAAUUACUAGGAACCUACAAGCUUUUUAUAACAUGCUACGCUCAUAUGACCUUGGAGACACAGGGCGCAUUGGCCGAAAUAAUUUCAAGAAAAUCAUGCACGUCUUCUGUCCAUUUUUAACGAAUGCACAUUUCAUAAAACUCUGCAGUAAGAUUCAGGACAUUGGUUCAGGAAGAAUCCUUUACAAGAAACUUUUGGCACGCAUAGGAAUUGAUGGCCCACCCACUGUCUCUCCAGUUCUUGUUCCAAAGGAUCAGCUGUUACAUGAACAUUUACAAAAAGAUGAACAGCAGCAGCCAGAUCUUUCUGAGAGAACCAAGCUCACGGAGGAUAAAACCACCCUGACCGAGAAGAUGACCACAGAAGAAGUGAUUGAAAAAUUCAAAAAGUGUAUACAGCAGCAGGACCCGGCAUUCAAAAAACGAUUUCUUGACUUCAGCAAGGAGCCUAAUGGAAAAAUUAACGUGCAUGACUUUAAGAAGGUACUGGAAGACACUGGGAUGCCCAUGGACGAUGAUCAGUAUGCCCUGCUGACCACUAAAAUAGGCUUCGAGAAGGAAGGGAUGAGCUAUCUUGAUUUUUCAGCAGGAUUUGAAGAUCCUCCAAUGAGAGGGCCGGAAACCACUCCGCCGCAGCCUCCAACUCCUUCAAAAAGUUACGUGAACAGCCACUUUAUCACCGCAGAAGAAUGCCUGAAGCUUUUCCCCAGGAGGCUGAAGGAGUCAUUCCGGGACCCCUACUCUGCCUUCUUUAAAACAGAUGCUGACAGGGAUGGCAUAAUCAACAUGCAUGACCUUCACAGACUGCUCCUGCAUCUACUGCUUAAUCUCAAAGACGACGAGUUUGAGCGCUUCCUUGGCCUUCUUGGCUUGAGACUUAGUGUCACUUUAAAUUUUCGGGAAUUUCAAAAUUUGUGUGAGAAGAGACCAUGGAGAACAGAUGAAGCGCCUCAAAGACUCAUUAGAAUUUUCUAGAAACCGAUAAUGAGGGCAAUGGCAUUCUUCGACGCCGGGACAUAAAGAACGCACUGUACGGUUUUGAUAUUCCCCUCACACCAAGAGAGUUUGAAAAGCUUUGGGCAAGAUACGACACCGAGGGAAAAGGGCACAUUACUUACCAGGAAUUUUUACAGAAAUUGGGUAUUAACUAUUCGCCUGCUGUCCAUCGGCCCUGUGCAGAGGAUUAUUUCAACCUCAUGGGUCAUUUUACAAAGCCACAGCAGCUACAGGAAGAGAUGAAGGAGCUGCAGCAGAGCACAGAGAAGGCUGUGGCAGCCAGGGAUAAGCUUAUGGACCGCCAUCAAGAUAUCAGCAAAGCAUUCACCAAAACUGAUCAAUCCAAAACCAACUACAUAUCCAUAUGCAAGAUGCAGGAAGUGCUGGAAGAAUGUGGCUGUUCUCUUACCGAAGGGGAGCUGACCCGUCUGCUAAACAGUUGGGGAGUCAGCCGGCAUGAUAAUGCUAUCAAUUACCUCGACUUCCUGAGAGCAGUGGAGAACAGCAAGUCAACAGGAGCUCAGCCCAAGGAAAAAGAAGAGAGCAUGCCAAUCAGUUUUGCAACGCUGAAUCCACAGGAGGUUGUGAGGAAGAUCCAAGAAGUAGUUGAGUCCUCCCAGCUGGCUUUGUCCACGGCAUUUUCUGCAUUGGAUAAAGAGGAUACAGGAUUUGUAAAGGCUACAGAAUUCGGACAAGUUCUUAAGGAUUUCUGUUACAAACUAACGGACAAUCAGUAUCAUUAUUUUUUGAGGAAACUAAGAAUUCAUCUAACCCCCUGUAUAAAUUGGAAAUAUUUUCUCCAGAACUUUAGCUGUUUCCUUGAGGAGACAGCUGAUGAGUGGGCUGAGAAAAUGCCCAAAGGCCCGCCGCCUACCUCUCCCAAGGCCACAGCCGACAGAGACAUCCUGGCUCGCCUCCACAAAGCAGUGACUUCCCAUUACCAUGCCAUCACCCAGGAGUUUGAGAAUUUUGACACCAUGAAAACGAACACCAUCUCCAGAGAGGAGUUUAGGGCCAUUUGUAAUCGCCACGUCCAAAUCCUGACGGACGAACAGGUAAGAAACGCAAGUCAGUCCUCACCCUGCACACCGUCAGCUGAGCGUCAGCCCAGUCCCUGGCCAGAAGGUACAGAGUUUAAGACUGUUCUCUAUUUUUAAAAUGCUUGCAGUUUUGUUAUUUUGUUUUUCAAUCUUCCUGAAGAUUCACAGGAAUCUUCUGUUUAUGUAACAACUAUGAAUUACACCAUUUUCAUCAGGGUACAAAUACUGUCACUGUUGCCUUUCAAAUCAAAUCCAACUCCGCUUCGGCUCCCACACUCCUUCUCCCUUCCCUGGAGCAUCCCGGAGGUAAUGUGGUCUGGGUCUGUCAUGGGCAGCAACUAUCUGGGGCCAGUGUUGUGCAGGCAGUAAAAAGAGUGUACCAAGACAGUUGUAGGUAAAAAAGGCAGAUGUAUUAGAAAAAGUAUGAAAAUAUGUUGCAAGAGUGCAAGGGGCAAGUCAGCAAGAGAAAAGCUGACUGCAAAGAGACAAAGGUUUGCUGGAGAUUUUAUAGGAUGGUGCUUGUGCUGGGUGCUGAAGAAGGCUUUGUGCAGUACUGGAAACACCAAGGUUGCAGUGAGCUACCUUGCGUUUUUCUACGAGCCGGGGGUCUGGUGAUAGCUGGGCGCAGGAUGGUUGUUAUUUGUGCAGGAGGACUAUGUGUUCUGGACCAUGAACAAAGGCAGACUUAGCGGCUUACCUGCUUUUUCAUUUUGCUUUCCUCUGUUCCCACCAGCCUGAUUCCUUUCCCCUGAUUAGGACUCCACAUGGUCCAAAGAGGGUGGGCAGUCGGUCCCCACGCCUGGAGGGUCACAGACCCUGGCGGGAGGCUGGCGUUCCUCCCGCCACCUCAACCUGCCUUCUCCUUGCUACUACCUGGUGCUGCCACUGGCAGUGUGGGAUGCUCCGGGCUGCUGCUCUAAGCAUGCUGGGUACAUGCCACCCCUGGCGGGCCUCUCCACUGUGCACAGGCUGGACACAGGCCCUGCCUCUCUAAGAUCCUCCUCCCUAUCACAGAAUCCCCAGAAGGAGGUUCUUCCCAGCCUCCUCCCCUAAGGACUGGACUGAGCUCUUCUGUGGCUCAAAGGCUCCAACAACCUGCUCCCCUGCGCCGCUAUGGCCCUUCAUGGCCUUCCAAGGCCAAGAGCACCUCCCAGUGGGGUGGCGUCCUCAGAGUCUGCCUUGCCAUGGCAGCUGUAGGAGGGAAGAGAGCACCUGCCCAGCCUGCCUCCCGUCCAUAGUCACACCGAACACCAGCACCAGGGGAGCAGUGCCCCAGGUUGCUUUGUUCCUCGCUGUGCCCUAAAUGCCAAAGCAGUGCAGGGCACUGAGUGGGUGCUCAGUACGUGCUGCUGAAUGGACAGCGUCCACACUCCCCAGCCCUUCACUAUCCUCGGCAGCCCCGUGGCUGAUCAGCCAAGUAACACAGAGCACCACUGAUCCAGUUACAGAAGUAGAUUUCCCUUCACUCAGAAAAUGCACAGCUACAAGCCGUCUCUAGUUCUCAAAUGCAUCAAUGUCCCAUUCCCAGAGAAUAAUUCAGAUUAAAACAUAAAAUCCCCAAAUACUUAACAAAGCAACUCUGCCUCCCUCCUUCCUCCUGGUUCUGCUCAGUCUCAGCCCAGGGAGUUCCCUGCAGACACUGCGUGGAAAUGUCACUCUUUCGCCUCCAAAACUGGGCCAUUACAACCUCUUGUCUCAUUUUGUCAGAGUUGCAGGGUAAGGCCUUGGAAGUAUUCAUAGGGAAGCGUGAUCAUCGCAGUCACCCCUGGCUCUACUCACAGCUCUGAACUCACUGCCCCAAGAAUGCAUGCCGUAAAGACAUUAAGAAUGUGACUAUCAGGUUUAACAUUCCUAAAAUAUCACCUUUCUCAAGCAUUUUGGUGUGAUCAUUUUUGCUAAGCAAAAUUAAAUGCUGUUUCCAAAUGAUCCUGCCCCAUCGCACGUCAAAGCUGAGCAAGCUCUGUAUUUGCAAAUACUCCUCUUAGCAUAAAUGAAAAUAAGCCUUUGAAAUUAAUACAGUUGCAUUUAUUAUUCUAUGGGGCCAAGUAAUCAAGGUUUUCCUAAUAAAGAUUUUUUUUAUUUCACCUAAAUGAGUAAAAUUUUACUCUAAUUAUAGAUGGAAAUUAAUGACAUGCUGACAUAUCUGGCAUUCAUCACAGAGAAUUCAAUUUUAAUUGUCCACUAAGAAAACUUCACCAUCCUCAGCACAUCGAGCCCCUUCCCUAACCAAAUUAAACACUUAUUUUUAAACGCGGUUUUCUAAAAAUAAGCUGACGUGUCUCUUACAUGCAGCCAACAAACAUAUGAAAAAAAGCUCAACAUCACUGAGCAUUAGAGAAAUGCAAAUUAAAACCACAGUGAGAUACCAUCUCACGCCAGUCAGAAUGGCUACUAUUUAAAAGUCAAAAAACAACAGAUGCUGGUGAGGUUACAGAGAAAAAGGAAUGCCUCUACACUGUUGGUAGAAGUUGGGAGUGUCAGUUAGUUUAGCCAUUGUGGAUGACACUGUGGUGAUUUCUCAAAGACCUAGAGGCAGUAAUACCAUAUGACCAAGCCAUCCCAUUACUGGGUAUAUGCCCCAAGGAAUAUAAAUCAUUCUAUUAUAAAGAUACACACACGUAUGUACAUUGCAGCACUUUUCACAAUAGCAGACAAGGAAAAAACCUAAAUGCCCAUCAGUGAUAGGCUGGAUAAAGAAAAUGUGGUACAUCUACACCGUGGAAUACUAUGCAGCCAUAAAAAGGAAUGAGAGGCCAGGCACAGCGGUUCACGCCUGUAAUCCCAGCAUUUUGGGAGGCUGAGGUGGGUAGAUCACGAGGUCAGGGUUUCAAGACCAGCCUAGCCAAUAUGGUGAAACCCCGUCUCUACUACUAAAAAUGCAAAAAAAUUAGCUGGGCACAGUGGCACGCAUCUGUAGUCCCAGCUGCUCAGGAGGCUGAAGCAGGAGAAUCACGUAAACCUGGGAGGCAGAGGUUGCAGUGAGCCGAGAUCACACCACUGCAUUCCAGCCUGAGCAAAAGAGCAAGACUCUGUCUC